CUGGAUAGGCAUGACAUGUUGCUAGACAUCAAUCAUGUCUUAUAGAUUUUUAUGAAUUAAAGAGACUAAUUCAUGAGUCUAUUAAAAAAAGUUCUAAUUUAACAACUCGAAUCUACAUGGAUUUGACCUAAAUUGAUUAGAUGGAGCCUAAUCAAAUCGGGUCAACAUGUAUCCAAAUUUACUGCUGGCUAAUUGUGGAGCCC
rnacentral:lncRNA from 1 species